rnacentral:rRNA from 1 species
AUUGAUCGCUGGCGGCAUGCUUUACACAUGCAAGUCGAACGGUAACAGGCCGCAAGGUGCUGACGAGUGGCGAACGGGUGAGUAAUGCAUCGGAACGUGCCCAGUCGUGGGGGAUAACUGCUCGAAAGAGCAGCUAAUACCGCAUACGAUCUAUGGAUGAAAGCGGGGGACCGUAAGGCCUCGCGCGAUUGGAGCGGCAGAUGUCAGAUUAGGUAGUUGGUGGGGUAAAGGCUUACCAAGCCAACGAUCUGUAGCUGGUCUGAGAGGAAGACCGGCCACACGGGGACUGGGACACGGCCCAGACGCCUACGGGGGGCAGAAGUGGGGAAUUUUGGACAAUGGGGGCAACCCUGAUCCAGGAAUGCCGCGUGCAGGAAGAAGGCCUUCGGGUUGUAAACUGCUUUUGUACGGAACGAAACGGUCUGGGUUAAUACCCUGGGCUAAUGACGGUACCGUAAGAAUAAGCACCGGCUACUACGUGCCAGCCGCCGCCGUAAUAC